GAAGUGGUAUCUUGUCAUUCAAGGACGUUGGUUUUGAAGUUCAAAUCAAACAGGCGCCGAAGAGUAAACACGACUGAGGGUGACUUUGAGUUGUUGAAAAUGUUUUCGGUAGUUCAAGUGGAAAGCCUUCCUAGAUUAUUAACUUGUUUCUGCUUUUGUAGCUUUUCUUAUUUAUCAAAACAUUGUUUGCGUGUAAGAACUUGUUUGCGUCUGGAUGAUUAUUUUAAUACAAUGAGUAUGUUUGUCUUGAAGAAAUUCAUUUGUUUCACUCAUAUUUGUUUUCAAAUUUUAAAUUUCUUUUUGCAUUAUGAUGCCAACUUGCUGGCCUUUCUUUUG